GGCUUAGUGGUUAAUUGUUAACACGUUCGCCUCACACCUCCAGGGUCCAGGAUUCGAUUCCCUCCGGGGCCA